UACGUAGGGACCAAGCGUUGUUCGGAUUUACUGGGCGUAAAGGGCGCGUAGGCGGCAUGACAAGUCACUUGUGAAAUCUCCGGGCUUAACUCGGAACGGUCAAGUGAUACUGUCGCGCUAGAGUGCGGAAGGGGCAAUCAGAAUUCUUGGUGUAGCGGUGAAAUGCGUAGAUAUCAAGAGGAACACCAGUGGCGAAGGCGAGUCUCUGGACAUUUCCUGACGCUGAGGCACGAAAGCCAGGGGAGCAAACGGG
rnacentral:rRNA from 1 species